rnacentral:rRNA from 1 species
GAUGAACGCUGGCGGCGUGCCUAAUACAUGCAAGUCGAGCGAACAGAUGAGGAGCUUGCUCCUCUGACGUUAGCGGCGGAAGGGUGAGUAACACGUGGAUAACCUACCUAUAAGACUGGGAUAACUUCGGGAAACCGGAGCUAAUACCGGAUAAUAUAUUGAACCGCAUGGUUCAAUAGUGAAAGACGGUUUUGCUGGCACUUAUAGAUGGAUCCGCGCCGCAUUAGCGAGUUGGUAAGGGAACGGCUUACCAAGGCAACGAUGCGUAGCCGACCUGAGAGGGUGGUCGGCCACACUGGAACUGAGACACGGUCCAGACUCCUACGGGAGGCAGCAGUAGGGAAUCUUCCGCAAUGGGCGAAAGCCUGACGGAGCAACGCCGCGUGAGUGAUGAAGGUCUUCGGAUCGUAAAACUCUGUUAUUAGGGAAGAACAAAUGUGUAAGUAACUAUGCACGUCUUGACGGUACCUAAUCAGAAAGCCACGGCUAACUACGUG